rnacentral:rRNA from 1 species
UACGUAGGGGGCAAGCGUUGUCCGGAUUUAUUGGGCGUAAAGAGCGUGUAGGCGGCUUUACAGGUCCGUUGUGAAAACUCGAGGCUCAACCUCGAGACGCCGGUGGAAACCGUAAGGCUAGAGUCCGGAAGAGGAGAGUGGAAUUCCUGGUGUAGCGGUGAAAUGCGCAGAUAUCAGGAGGAACACCCGUGGCGAAAGCGGCUCUCUGGGACGGUACUGACGCUGAGGUGCGAAAGCGUGGGGAGCAAACAGG